rnacentral:rRNA from 1 species
AAACGGACGCUAAUACCGCAUACGUCCUACGGGAGAAAGCAGGGGACCUUCGGGCCUUGCGCUAUCAGAUGAGCCUAGGUCGGAUUAGCUAGUUGGUGAGGUAAUGGCUCACCAAGGCUACGAUCCGUAACUGGUCUGAGAGGAUGAUCAGUCACACUGGAACUGAGACACGGUCCAGACUCCUACGGGAGGGCAGACACGUGGAGGAAUAUUGGACAAUGGGCGAAAGCCUGAUCCAGCCAUGCCGCGUGUGUGAAGAAGGUCUUCGGAUUGUAAAGCACUUUAAGUUGGGAGGAAGGGCAGUUACCUAAUACGUGAUUGUCUUGACAUUGCCGACAGAAUAAGCACCGGCUAACUCUGUGCCAGCAGCCGCGGGAAUACAGAGGGUGCAAGCGUUAAUCGGAAUUACUGGGCGUAAAGCGCGCGUAGGUGGUUUGUUAAGUUGAAUGUGAAAUCCCCGGGCUCAACCUGGGAACUGCAUCCAAAACUGGCAAGCUAGAGUAUGGUAGAGGGUAGUGGAAUUUCCUGUGUAGCGGUGAAAUGCGUAUAUAUAGGAAGGAACACCAGUGGCGAAGGCGACUACCUGGACUGAUACUGACACUGAGGUGCGAAAGCGUGGGGAGCCCACAGGAUUAGAUACCCUGGUAGUCCACGCCGUAAACGAUGUCCACUAGCCGCUGGGAGUCUUGAACUCUUAGAGGCGCAGCUAACGCAUUAAGGUGACCGCCCUGGGGAGUACCGCCGCUAUGAUUAAACUCAAAUGAAUUGACCGGCGCCCGCGCAACCGGGGGAGUCUGCGGGCUUAAUUACGAAGCCACCCUGAAGAACCCUUUCCCGGCCUUGAACUUCCAAUUAAACCUUUCCCCCAUUAAUUUGUUCCCCCUUCGGGAAGCAUUCAAAA